AGGAAGGUAGUCUAACUAAGACAGUUGAUUUCGACUCAACGAAUCACAGAUCGAUCCUGUGCCUCCCUCC
rnacentral:tRNA from 1 species